AGAGUUUGAUCCUGGCUCAGGAUUAACGCUGGCGGUGUGCAUAACACAUGCAAGUCAAACGGGUGUAGCAAUACAUCAGUGGCAAACGGGUGCGUAACACGUUGGAACCUCCCCGGAAGUUGCGGAUAACCAGUCGAAAGAUUGGAUAAUACGCAAUAGUCCCGCAAGGGUAAAGCAGCAAUGCGCUUCCGGAAGGGCCUGCGGCCUAUCAGCUAGUUGGUGAGGUAACGGCUCACCAAGGCUACGACGGGUAGCUGGAUUGAGAGAUCGAUCAGCCACAGGGGAACUGAGACACGGUCCCCACUCCUACGGGAGGCAGCAGUGAGGAAUCUUCCGCAAUGGGCGAAAGCCUGACGGAGCAACACCGCGUGGAGGAUGAAGUGGUUCGCCAUGUAAACUCCUUUUCUGAGGGAAGAAUUCUGACGGUACCUUAGGAAUAAGCACCGGCUAACUCUGUGCCAGCAGCCGCGGUAAGACAGAGGGUGCGAGCGUUAUCCGGAAUCAUUGGGCGUAAAGCGUGUGUAGGCGGAGCAUGAAGUCGGGGGUAAAAUCUCCAAGCUCAACUUGGAAUUUGUUCCCGAUACUGAUGCUCUUAGAAGUAUGCAGAGGCAUCUGGAAUUCUGUGUGUAGGGGUAAAAUCCGUAGAUACACGGAGGAACGCCAAAAGCGAAAGCAGGAUGCUGGGCAUAUCUUGACGCUGAGACACGAAAGCGUGGGGAGCAAACAGGAUUAGAUGCCCUGGUAGUCCACGCCGUAAACCAUGAGAACUCGGUGUAGGAGGAAUCGACCCCUUCUGUGCCUAAGUUAACACGUUAAGUUCUCCGCCUGGGUAGUACGGUCGCAAGACUAAAACUCAAAGGAAUAGACGGGGACCCACACAAGCGGUGGAGCAUGUGGUUCAAUUCGACGGUAAACGAGGAACCUUACCUAGGUUUGACAUCUCGGGAAUCCUGCCGAAAGGUGGGAGUGCCGUAAGGAACCCGAAGACAGGUGCUGCAUGGUUGUCGUCAGCUCGUGCCUUGAGGUGUUUGGUUCAGUCCAUAAACGAGCGCAACCCUCGUCCUGUGUUGUAUAUUUCGCAGGAGACUGCCGGCGCAAAGUCGGAGGAAGGUGAGGACGACGUCAAAUCAGCAUGGCCCUUAUACCUAGGGCUACACACGUGCUACAAUGGCCGUUACAGCAGGAAGCCAACCCGUAAGGGGGAGCAAAUCCUUAAAAGACGGUCUUAGUUCGGAUUGAGGUCUGCAACUCGACCUCAUGAAGUUGGAAUCGCUAGUAACCGCGUAUCAGCCAUGGCGCGGUGAAUAUGUUCCUGGGUCUUGUACUCACCGCCCGUCAAGCUAUGGGAGGUGGGAGCGCCUAAAGCUUUCCCGCAAGGGAGAAUCAAGGCGAUACCACUGACUGGAGCUAAGUCGUAACAAGGUAUCCGUAGGAGAACCUGCGGAUG
rnacentral:rRNA from 1 species